UUUUCCUGCCUCAGCCUCCUGAGUAGCUGGAACUACAGGCGCCGCGCCACCACUCCCGGCUAAUUUUUUUAUUUUAUUUUAUUUUUUAUUUUUAGUAGAGACGGGGUUUCACCGUAGCCAGAAUGGUCUUGAUCUCCUGACCUCGUCAUCCGCCCGCCUCGGCCUCCCAAAGUGCUGGGCUUACAGGCGUGAGACACUGCGCCCGGCCCAUACUACUACUUUUUUUUACUGAUUUAGGGAUGGUGAUAUGUCUCCCCCUGCCACCACUUGGAGAAUAAGAUAAAAAGGCAGCUUUAUGAAGGUUUCUUGGAAGGGAAGUCAAUCACUCUUCUGGAGGGUGAAAGAAUCCAACUCUAGAUGUCAACAAGAAAGCAUCUCAUCAUAAUUCCAACUGGCAGACGUUCUCAGAAAAUGAAGACUGAAUUUAGAAUGCAGCCAGCAUAAAGGAUGAUUGAACUAACAAUGGAAAGAACUGAAGAACUUUAUUACAUUGUUGAGC
rnacentral:lncRNA from 1 species